rnacentral:rRNA from 1 species
UGGGGAAUAUUGCACAAUGGGGGAAACCCUGAUGCAGCGACGCCGCGUGAACGAAGAAGGUAUUCGUAUCGUAAAGUUCUGUCCUAUGGGAAGAUAAUGACAGUACCAUAGAAGAAAGCUCCGGCUAUAUACGUGCCAGCAGCCGCGGUAAUACGUAUGGAGCGAGCGUUGUCCGGAAUUAUUGGGCGUAAAGGGUACGCAGGCGGUUUAAUAAGUCGAAUGUUAAAGAUCGGGGCUCAACCCCGCAAAGCAUUGGAAACUGAUAAACUUGAGUAGUGGAGAGGAAAGUGGAAUUCCUAGUGUAGUGGUGAAAUACGUAGAUAUUAGGAGGAAUACCAGUAGCGAAGGCGACUUUCUGGACACAAACUGACGCUGAGGUACGAAAGCGUGGGGAGCAAACAGG